CCUACGUGAGGCAGCAGUGGGGAAUAUUGCGCAAUGGGCGAAAGCCUGACGCAGCGACGCCGCGUGAGGGAUGAAGGUCUUCGGAUCGUAAACCUCUGUCAGCAGGGAAGAACGGUCACUGUGCUAAUCAGCAGUGAAUUGACGGUACCUGCAAAGGAAGCACCGGCUAACUCCGGGCCAGCAGCCGCGGUAAUACGGAGGGUGCGAGCGUUAAUCGGAAUUACUGGGCGUAAAGCGCUCGUAGGCGGUAUGUCAAGUCAAGGGUGAAAUCCCCGCGCGCAACGUGGGAACUGCCUGUGAAACUGGCAAACUGGAGUGUGUGAGAGGAUAGUGGAAUUCCAGGUGUAGGAGUGAAAUCCGUAGAUAUCUGGAGGAACAUCAGUGGCGAAGGCGACUAUCUGGCACAUAACUGACGCUGAGGAGCGAAAGCGUGGGUAGCAAACAGGAUUAGAUACCCUUGUAGUC
rnacentral:rRNA from 1 species